GGAGAGAUGGCAGAGUGGUCGAUUGCGGCGGUCUUGAAAACCGCUGAGGUGAAAGCCUCCAGGGGUUCGAAUCCCCUUCUCUCCG
rnacentral:tRNA from 1 species